UACGUAGGGGGCAAGCGUUGUCCGGAUUUAUUGGGCGUAAAGAGCGUGUAGGCGGUUUGGUAGGUCCGUUGUGAAAACUCGAGGCUCAACCUCGAGACGCCGAUGGAAACCAUCAGACUAGAGUACUGCAGGGGAGACUGGAAUUCCUGGUGUAGCGGUGGAAUGCGCAGAUAUCAGGAGGAACACCGGUGGCGAAGGCGGGUCUCUGGGCAGUAACUGACGCUGAGGAGCGAAAGCGUGGGGAGCGAACAGG
rnacentral:rRNA from 1 species